rnacentral:rRNA from 1 species
UGGGGAAUAUUGCGCAAUGGGCGAAAGCCUGACGCAGCAACGCCGCGUGGGGGAUGAAGGUUUUCGGAUUGUAAACCCCUUUCGACCGGAACGAAUCUCCUCUUGGUAAAUAAUCAGGAGGAUCGACGGUACCGAGAGAAGAAGCCACGGCUAACUCUGUGCCAGCAGCCGCGGUAAGACAGAGGUGGCGAGCGUUGUCCGGAUUUAUUGGGCGUAAAGCGAACGCAGGUGGUUUGGUAAGUCAGGGGUGAAAGUCCGCAGCUUAACUGCGGCACUGCCUUUGAUACUGCCUUUCUUGAGUGCAUGAGGGGGAAGCGGAAUUCCGAGUGUAGAGGUGAAAUUCGUAGAUAUUCGGAGGAACACCGGUGGCGAAGGCGGCUUCCUGGCAUGUAGCUGACACUCAUGUUCGAAAGCGUGGGUAGCAAACAGGAUUAGAUACCCUGGUAGUCCACGCCCUAAACGGUGGGCACUAGGUGUGGGAGGUAUCGACCCCUUCCGUGCCGCAGCUAACGCAUUAAGUGCCCCGCCUGGGGAGUACGGCCGCAAGGUUG